rnacentral:rRNA from 1 species
AUUGAACGCUGGCGGCAGGCUUAACACAUGCAAGUCGAGCGGGGUGAUGGUGCUUGCACUAUCACUUAGCGGCGGACGGGUGAGUAAUGCUUAGGAAUCUGCCUAUUAGUGGGGGACAACAUCUCGAAAGGGAUGCUAAUACCGCAUACGUCCUACGGGAGAAAGCAGGGGAUCACUUGUGACCUUGCGCUAAUAGAUGAGCCUAAGUCGGAUUAGCUAGUUGGUGGGGUAAAGGCCUACCAAGGCGACGAUCUGUAGCGGGUCUGAGAGGAGGAUGAGCCACACUGGGACUGAGACACGGCCCAGACUCCUACGGGAGGGAGCAGUGGGGAAUAUUGGAAAAUGGGGGGAAUCCUGAUCCAGCCAUGCCGCGUGUGUGAAGAAGGCCUUCGGGUUGUAAACCACUUUUGUCAGGGAAGAAACGGCUCUUACUAAUAUUAGGAGCUAAUGACGGUACCUGAAGAAUAAGCACCGGCUAACUACGUGCCAGCAGCCGCGGUAA